rnacentral:rRNA from 1 species
UACGGAGGGUGCAAGCGUUAUCCGGAUUCACUGGGUUUAAAGGGUGUGUAGGCGGGCAGUUAAGUCAGUGGUGAAAUCUCCGGGCUCAACCCGGAAACUGCCAUUGAUACUAUCUGUCUUGAAUAUCGUUGAGGUAGGCGGAAUAUAUCAUGUAGCGGUGAAAUGCUUAGAUAUGAUAUAGAACACCGAUUGCGAAGGCAGCUUGCUAAACGAUGAUUGACGCUGAGGCACGAAAGCGUGGGGAUCAAACAGG